AUUGAACGCUGGCGGCAGGCCUAACACAUGCAAGUCGAACGAGUGGCGGACGGGUGAGUAAUGUCUGGGAAACUGCCCGAUGGAGUGGGAUAACUACUGGAAACGGUAGCUAAUACCGCAUACCAUCGGUUGUCCCCAGAUGGGAUUAGCUAGUAGGUGGGGUAACGGCUCACCUAGGCGACUAUCCCAAGCUGGUCUGAUAGGAUGACCGGCCACACGGGGACUGAAAAACGGACCAGACCACUACGGGAGGCAGCAGUGGGGAAUAUUGAACAAUGGGCGCAAGCCGGAUGCAGCAAUGCCGCGUGUAUGAAGAAGGCCUUCGGGUUGUAAAGUACGUUCAGCGAGGAGGCGUGACUCGCAGAAGAAGCACCGGCUAACUCCGGGCCAGCAGCCGCGGUAAUAC
rnacentral:rRNA from 1 species